GAGAGAGGUGUGUGUGUUAGGUCUGUUUGAGUGGUGCAGCUGGUAGACUAGCUGAGGCCUGUUCCAGGAAGGCCAGGGGUCCAGGUGGAGGGAGAUCUGACGGUUUACGAUGCUGGACACUGACAUCCUCCAGAACCUACAGACAGAACAGACAUUAUAUUACCUACAGACAUUAUAUUACCUACAGACAGACAUGUUAUCAUGAUGCUGGACCAGACAUUAUAUAAACUACAGACAGACAUGAUAUCACCUACAGACAGACAUGAUAUUACCUACAGACAGAACAGACAUGAUAUUAACUACAGACAGACAUGUUACAAUGAUGCUGGACCAGACAUUAUAUAAACUACAGACAGACAUAAUAUUAACUACAGACAGACAUAAUAUUAACUACAGACAGACAUGUUAUCAUGAUGCUGGACCAGACAUGAUAUUACCUACAGACAGAACAGACAUGAUAUUACCUACAGGACAUUAUAUUAACUACAGACAGACAUGUUAUCAUGAUGCUGGACCAGACAUGAUAUUAACUACAGACAGACAUGAUAUUACCUACAGACAGACAUGAUAUUAACUACAGACAGAACAGACAUGAUAUUACCUACAGACAGACAUGAUAUUACCUACAGACAGACAUGAUAUUAACUACAGACAGAACAGACAUGAUAUUGCCUACAGACAGACAUGAUAUUACCUACAGACAGACAUG
rnacentral:lncRNA from 1 species